UAAAAAAAAAAAUGGAAUAGAGGUUUAUAUAAAACUGAUAAUUUGACAAUGAGUUUUUUUAAAACAUUCUUUUAAUUUUUUACCAUCAUACUUAUUUAAACAUUUGAAACUUUCUGUCAACUGCUAUAAAUAGUAGUUUCCUGAAUUAACUUGACAAACAAAUUAAUUAAAGAAACUGAAAGGUAUUCUGAAAUCAGAACCACAACUGCCAUGAAUUGAUGUUAUAACUUUCUUCUCUCUAAUUUUGUAUAUUGAAUAUAACGAAUUUGUUUUAUUAUGUAAUAAAGUAAAUGUAUUCUGUCUUUUUUAUCUGUUAUAUCCUGAUGCGGUUGUCAACGUAUAUUUGUUCCGCCUAACAGAAGUUCCAUGUAAACUUUGUUAUGAAAAUCAUUGUCUUAAUAUAUAUUCAUGUCUAUACCAUUUAUUAUAGGAUAAAACGCC
rnacentral:lncRNA from 1 species